GAUGAACGCUGGCGGCGUGCCUAAUACAUGCAAGUCGAGCGAACGGACGAGAAGCUUGCUUCUCUGAUGUUAGCGGCGGACGGGUGAGUAACACGUGGAUAACCUACCUAUAAGACUGGGAUAACUUCGGGAAACCGGAGCUAAUACCGGAUAAUAUUUUGAACCGCAUGGUUCAAAAGUGAAAGACGGUCUUGCUGUCACUUAUAGAUGGAUCCGCGCUGCAUUAGCUAGUUGGUAAGGUAACGGCUUACCAAGGCAACGAUGCAUAGCCGACCUGAGAGGGUGAUCGGCCACACUGGAACUGAGACACGGUCCAGACUCCUACGGGAGGCAGCAGUAGGUAAUCUUCCGCAAUGGGCGAAAGCCUGACGGAGCAACGCCGCGUGAGUGACGAAGGUCUUCGGAUCGUAAAACUCUGUUAUUAGGGAAGAACAUAUGUGUAAGUAACUGUGCACAUCUUGACGGUACCUAAUCAGAAAGCCACGGCUAACUACGUG
rnacentral:rRNA from 1 species